rnacentral:rRNA from 1 species
UACGUAGGUGGCAAGCGUUGUCCGGAUUUACUGGGCGUAAAGCGAACGCAGGCGGACUGUUAAGUAGGGAGUGAAAGGUUGGAGCUCAACUCUGACACUGCUCCCUAUACUGGCAGUCUUGAGUACUGGAGAGGAAAGCGGAACGACACGUGUAGCGGUGAAAUGCGUUGAUAUGUGUCGGAACACCAAUGGCGAAAGCAGCUUUCUGGACAGAGACUGACGCUGAGGUUCGAAAGCCAAGGUAGCAAACAGG